UGUGCCACGUGGACCAAUCAUGACACGCCACGUGGCACACUAGAAGACUAAAUUUUGAGAGUUUGAAGUUAAAAGAUAUUUCGUCCACACUUUUGGUAAAUAAAAUUUAAUUAUUAAAACUGUCAAUGAUAAAAAAAAAUUCUUUUUCUUAAAAAAAAAAAAAACUCAUUUAAUUAUUAAUUUAACAAUUUGGUGUACUGGUACACUCAAAUUUUUGGAUGUACCAUAGAAUUUGCCUUAUUUUAAUUUAUUUAUUUCAAUUAUAAAAUUUUGUUUUUAGUGUGCCACAUGUCGUGUUAUGAUUGUCCACGUGGCACAC
rnacentral:pre_miRNA from 1 species